rnacentral:misc_RNA from 1 species
ACGAAUAAACUUGAACAGGCUGUUGCUAGCUCCCCCUGGGGGGCAUGUGCACGCUUGUCAUCUUUGUUUCUCCAACUGUGCACACAUUGUAGACCUUUCGGUUCGAGUUUGGGACUGCCAUCGCGGCCAGGGUCUAUGUCAUUUUUCACAAACCUCUGAAUCUGUUUAGAAUGUUACAAUAAAGUUAAAUAUA